CGAACGCUGGCGGCGUGCUUACCACAUGCACGUCGAACGGAAAGGCCCUGCUUUUGUGGGGUGCUCGAGUGGCGAACGGGUGAGUAACACGUGAGUAACCUGCCCUUGACUUUGGGAUAACUUCAGGAAACUGGGGCUAAUACCGGAUAGGAGCUCCUGCUGCAUGGUGGGGGUUGGAAAGUUUCGGCGGUUGGGGAUGGACUCGCGGCUUAUCAGCUUGUUGGUGGGGUAGUGGCUUACCAAGGCUUUGACGGGUAGCCGGCCUGAGAGGGUGACCGGCCACAUUGGGACUGAGAUACGGCCCAGACUCCUACGGGAGGCAGCAGUGGGGAAUAUUGCACAAUGGGCUGAAGCCUGAUGCAGCAACGCCGCGUGCGGGAUGACGGCCUUCGGGUUGUAAACCGCUUUCGCCUGUGACGAAGCGUGAGUGACGGUAAUGGGUAAAGAAGCACCGGCUAACUACGUG
rnacentral:rRNA from 1 species